ensembl:lncRNA
AUGAAUGGAGAAUGUCUGUAUAUAUUUUUAAAGUAAUUAUAGCCUUAAUUUACCCAAAUUCACAGGAAAAAAUCCAUAAUAAAUGUCAUUAAUUUCUUCAGUGGUAGCCCAAACUCUACAAAGCCAAUGCUUAACUACAGUUUUCUUUGUCUAAAAAGACUGUGUCCAUUAAACAAGGGGAAAUGUUUGGCCACUAAUAGUUCACCACCAUGUGAACUAUUAGCGAGCGGAGUCGUGUUUGAUUUGCUGUCAAAGCAGCAGACACACUGGUCGGACUGGUUUGACUCAGUGGUUUGGUGUUGGGAAAACAAACCUAAAAAUUCUGAACAGAGGAUCAUGUGUCACUCAGGUCACCUGCUUCAACCUAUUACAUGCAUCUAACGUAUGAAUAUCUGCUGAUAACUCUAAGUUUAAAUCUAUAGUCUCAGAGUUGGAUCCACAGAUUUGAGUAAUGACACACCUGAUGGAAACGUCAGCUCUGACAGGGUUCAGUUGAUCACAGAUUGAAAAGGCUCCUGAGUUUGCGUGACUGACAACAUGGCUAACCUUAAACAAAGCCGGACAACGUUACAGUAAAUAAAACCUAAUUCAUCUCUGCAGGGCAGUCAGUCAAAGCCGGAGACACGAGACAAAUAGUGGAAGCUCGACUGGUCAAACAAGCUGCUCAUGGAGAAGUUUCCAUGACACGCGUUUCCUCAUUGUGACAGCAGCCUCACAAUAGGUGACAUUAUUGUCAAGAUGCAUGAACCGUGAAUGAUUAAAUAUUGAGGACUUGAAUGCAGUGUAUCCACCCUGCAGAGCUGCUCCCGAGAUAAAUAGAAAGGGUAAAUAUGUUUCCUGGGAAAAGUCUCUGAACUAAAGUCAUGAGGAGGCUUUGAGCAAUCUGAUAAAAGAUGCAACAUGCUUAUGCAGCCUCGCAUCACUUUGGUUUCAUUAGCUGAACAAAAAGAUCAGGGGGGCCCUGAUUAAUUAUAGCAAGCUUAUCACUGUGUAAACACAAGCUCAGUGGCAGCUGAUUAUGAAAUAUAUGUGCAUAAAUCUGUCACGCUGGUUGCAGACAAUGGGCUGAUGUGCCACUUUAAUGACACUAAAGGUGCAAAACAAGUCAGUCCUGUAAAGGAAUGAAGAUGGACUUUGAGGCUUUCAGCUGCUGUCAUUGUGAUUGGAUACCAGUCCUGCCAGUACGUCUUGUGCUAUGUAUGAAAUGUAAGACGUGCUGUGAGUGAAAAAGAAUCAUCCUCAAGGAAGGGAAAGCACUUUUCUGGGGAGACUUGCUCUCAUUCUUGUCAGAGCUUCAGACUAAACCCAGCUGUUCCUCUCUCUCGGCCCAACUAUGGUGCAGGGUUCAUGGACCACCUUCUUCCUGUCCAUCGCUCUGAUUAUGGACAUUGUCGGCAUCAUUCUCUUCUUCACUGGAAUCUUUGCACCUUUGAGUUUCUGGGACUUUUUCGUGCUGUCUGGGCCUCUGCUGAUCUUCCUCAGCCUGGUCCUCUGGAUAUUCUGGUACAUGGCGCACCUCACUGUGUCCGAGGAGGAGCUCAACCUGCCCAAACACGACAUGCUGUGACGGCCGUAAGAGUGAAGCCGGACUGGGACGGAUCUGGCCGAGGCACCGGACUCCUUCGAACCAGCUGUACAAAGGAUAAGGACAGAACUGGCAGGUCAAACAUCAAAACUCAUGUCAACCUGUGUUUCCCUGGAACCCCUUGAGGUUUUGUCUCAGUGAAGGAUAUGAUAAAUCCAAAUCCGGGAAGGACCAGGAGCACAUUUGACUAAUCCCGGGAGAUAAAAAACAAACUAUUUCACUCUUUGACUUCAGGGUGAAAACAACUUGUCAGUGCACUGAGUGGCAGUGAUUCCUGGAAUUUGGUGGAGUGGAAAAUGUAUUUCACAGCACUUUAGUUGGAAGGAAGCUUUUAAAAGCUACACCGUGGGGAUACAAUGUGCCUUAUUUAUGCCAGUGUUGUCGUAUGUGUACAUUGUGAGUUGAUAUUUAUAUUUUAACAGCACGUUCAUGUAAGAUAUAUGGGCUUUGGAUAUUAGUAACUAAACAUGCUGUAAAAUGACUGGUGUGUUUUCUUUGUGAGGCUGCACCUAAAAAAGAAACAAGCCAAACUGGUUUGGCCUGGCCCAGCAUAAAUGCCUUCACAUAUAAAGCUAAAACAUGUCCCUUUACAAAGCAAUGAUGCUCCAGCAACUUGUUAAUGUGCUGUUAAAAAUGCAAAAUUGGCAAAAAGGGUGCCACAAAAAAUAUGGAUAAAAAAUGUGGAAUACUGCAACAAUUAAAAAAUAUAUUAAAAAAAAUAAAUUAAGUAUAGUUAAACUGUGUGAUUUCACUGUCGUUUGUGAAAGAAAACAAAACACUAUUUGUAAAAAUACAGAUUUUUGAUGUGGACAUUAUUUAGAGUUUGGCCUAUUUUUUGGAUGUUUUUUUCUUACAGGAAACAUGUAGCUUGACAUUUUUUCUUGUGAUUUUACUAGAAAUUAUCUACAAU